ensembl:lncRNA
CAGAUUUAGCCAGUACCUCAUUGUAAGGCCUCGAGAAACAAGUCAUCAUGCAGAGUCCUCAAGCGGGCAUUACGUCUGCCAGUGGGCAUGUACAUAUGCCACACAGUGCCUAAAUAAUUACACAAUAAGCACGUACACAGACAGUCACACACGCACACAAAGAAAUCCGAUAAAAAAUGGACGGAGACAGAGUGGAAGUCAGGCCGAAAUUAAAGCCCAAAGGUCUGGGAGCUCUGAACUUGUGACAGGCUGCCAUGCUGAGGAGGGGCGGAGAAGAGAGGGAUGAAGGGAUGGACAGAUGAAUGAAAGGACAGGGAGUCUAUGUUGUUGCUCAUUAAACCAGAUCAGGCAUGACGAGUGAGAGAGACAAAGACAAGCAGCGAAUGUGGUGCCGUAGACAUUCAGUAAACUAAAGUAUGCAAAAGUAGACCAGUGGUCAGUGAAACAGAAUAUAGAAGCUCAGCGGGAGGCAGCAGCCCUGAAAGCUGCUAUAUUGCUAUAAAAGGAAACACACACACACACACACACAAGUAAUAAGCUGCUGGCUAGAGCACAAUGAGCUCGGGGUCUUUUAGGGAAGUGGAGCAGGUAUGCGCCACCUGAUGACCAGCUGCUCACUAAUACACACAGGCUAAAACACAAACGCACACACAAACAUACACAUGCGUCUGCGUACCUGCUUUCACGCGCAGCAGCCGAUAAUGAGGACCAACUCAGACACUUGAAGAGAAACUCAAGCUGCCCUGAAUGACCCCUGGUUGCUUGCACGCACACGCACACACACACGUGUGUGUAGCCAGAAUCUUGUCUGGCCCCUUGACCCAGGCUGACAGCAGGCUGUGUUCUCUCCUCACUGUAAAGAGAGGUCCAGUGAUAAUGAAGCCAGAAUGGGGAGUUCAGACAGAAUUACAGCUGGAAUGCUGCCAGAGCCCCAUCAGUGUGUGUGUGUGUGUGUGUUUGACAGAGGAGAACAAUAAGAGCGUGUGCGCUCAGCCGGGCAGAGUGAUGGAUAAAUGCACCUUUAAUAACAGACCAGUGAGUCAAUACAGACUCUGAAGGGAGCAGAGUACAUAAGCGGUGAUCAGGUCACAAACAUCAGUCCUGAUUAGGAGUAGCAGCCACACUAAAAGUGAAUGUAAAAUGCUACAACAAACUUCUGUGUUCAAAUGAAGUCUAAAUGAUCCAGUAGGUGUCGGUUGACAUCACAUCACUUUUUUUCAGCUCCAGCAGGGAUAAACUAAGACACACACACACACACACACAAAAAAACAAACAGGCCCUCAUGUACCUACAUUUGCAAACGUGGCGUUAUCAGCGCCAUGGCCAACCCCCAGAAAGCGCAUGGCGUGAUACCUCAGCUAACGUCGUAUUUACGAAACGUAUUCAGCUCAUCGAGUAAUCAGGGCCUUUCUCCGCCCACUAUACCACACAUUGGGAGCUUUUUAACGAACAAUUGAAUGGGCCUCCUUUUCUCUUUCUAUUGUAGAUCAGUCAGAGUCAAAACAGCAAAUACAAAAAUUCUAUGACAACGAAGUUGGUGUGUUAUUUGAGCAAAGUGGGGAAAUUAUCCUGAUGCCAAUAAUUGUAAUAUAGCCUGGUCCUAGUGAGGACUCAAGCUGCAGCGUAGCGGUCUGAUUUACUUUUUACAGACAUGUAGACACACAGUUAUAGUCUAGUCUAAUGAAGAUACGUUUUUCCAAAUCUUGUUGAGACAUAAAUCCUCUAAUCCUUGAUAUAUUCUUUAGCUGAUUUUGUCUUGAUAUGGCUGUUCAGGUUGAGGUGUGAAUGCAUAAUUACACCUGGAUUUCUGGCUCUGAUUGUGGUUUUUAACAUCAGUGAUAAAAGCUCAGCGCUGACUUUGUUUAUCCAUGUAACCAAAAACAAUUACUUCUGUUUUGAUUUGUUCAAUGCAUUUACCCAACCCCUGUAUAGGAUUGCAAUCCCUUGGUGACAUAGUUAUUUUGAUUUGUAUGUCAUCUGGAUAACUAUGAUUGACACACUUUAUUGUUUUCCAAAAUCUGAGCUAAUGGAAGCAUGUAGAUGUUGAACAGAAGGGGCCCCAGCUUUGAACCUCGGGGAACACCACGUGCCAUUUUCUUCAACUGUGAUGUGAAAUUAGCUAUAGACAAAGUAUUCUCUGUCUUUCAAGAAGGAUUCAAACUGGUUAUGUGCUGUGCCAGAGUCCAGUUGAUUAGUCUGUCCUAACCCGUUAUUUACGGCCAACAAGUGGUCUGUGGAGAAAACGCCUUUUCAAUUAUUUUACUCAGAAAAAGCAGGUUUGAUAUUGGCCUAUAAUUUUUAAUUGUGGCGGCGCCUAAAUGAAUGGUUUAAUAACAGUGUUUAAGGCUUGUGGGAAAACCACAGAAAGGAGGGAUGUGUUUACAAUUUGUAAGAGACCAUUGGUCAUGUGGUUUGAAAUAUUUUUGAAAAAGAGUGUUGUAAAAAUAUCUAAGCAGCCGGAGGAUGACUUAAAGAUAUUGUGUGAUGUCCUCCAGGCUUGUGUGGUUGAUUGAAUUAAAUUGUGUCAUAGUGUUUGAACAGAUCUCAUUCUGAGAUCUGAGGCAAAUUGAUGGCAUGCCCUGGUGGAUUGAAGCCUCUGACACUGGAGGGUUUGUUAGCCCGUCGACGGUAGCAAAUAAGGUGUGUGUAUCGUUGUUAUUAUUAGUCAAGAUGUCAGAAAAGAAGGGCUGUCAAAGUUCCAAAUUAUAAUUACAAAGUCUGUCUUUAUGGAUGUUACAGACCGGCAGAUUUGUUUUCCGCCACCUGUGCUCAGCCUUCAGACACUCUCUUUUCUCUAUUCCGGCCAGCGUGGCUGAUUUCCAAGAACGUCUUUGCUUACUGGAGACAACUUUCACUUUAGUGGGUUCAAAGUCAACAAUACUACUUUCUACUUUGGAAUUGAAGCUGUGUACAAGCUCAUGAGAUGCAGGUCAUGUAGUCUACACCCCUCACCAACAUUAUUCCGUUUAUCUUAAAAGAUCUUUCAGUAUUCCGUUAGUGUUCACAUUUCUUAUCCUUACUUGACAACAUAAGGACAAUUAUUUGAAUGUUUUGAUCUUACUCCUACCCGGAUACAAAAAUAAAAGGUCUAACGUGAAAUUUGCCACUGGUUCGAGAUUCCAUUCAUAAAACACAAAGGGAAGCAAUAUUAAUCCCUAUUAGAACGAUGGACAUUGAAAAUCAAAAUCACAGUUUUAGGUGGUAAAAAGAGCGGGUAGAAAGUGACAAGUGUGAACUUCACGGUUAUCUGCAUCCUCCUUGGAGAAGGAACCAUUUUGGAAUGAGGUUGAUGUAUUUUACGAUCUCGAUGUGCCUCCACCUGGAUGACAGAAUCCUACUAUCUGACAAUAUUUAUUUAGAAAAAAAAUUGCACAGAAAAUGGAAGUUCAAAUGAAUAACUAGUUGCCAUAGUUUCAUCUAAAUAUUAUGCAGCCCAUCGUGACUCUGCUGAGUUAUUCAUAUGGCCUCAUAUGAUGAUUGGUUGUGACUGCAGGAAUAAAAUCCUGACGCCCUCAAUAAAUCUUACUGUUUUUGUAAAUAAGAAAUUGCUUUUUAUCUGCUUUACCAGCAGCCUGCCUCGGCCUUAAAUACUUUCCGAGUGGUUGGUUGGAAAUACGGUGAGGGGCCUGUGUGCAUUCGCUAAAGCCAUUAAAUUAGACUGUGUCUGUAUCUGUCUGGCUGCAAUGGUCUGAUCGAUCACUUGGUGGUGCUGGCGCUUUGCGGCUGAGGCUCUUCAGCAGCGAGGCGAAGUGAGCGGCCUGUCAGCUGUUGUGCAGCCGCAGUGCGCUUACCAGACUUUUUUUUCCCCCCUCACAUUAGUGGACUGCAUUUAUUUAAAUUACAGGUGUAUAUUUUUAACUUUAUGGUGGGUAUUUUUAUUGUGGCAUCGCCGGAGUUUGAAAGAACAGCUCACAAUUACUUCAGUCUGGACAUAUUUUGACUUGAAGAGGGACUAGUGUCAAUCUAUAACAUUAUGUCCAUGUCCAAUAAGGAGUGGCAUGAAAAAUAUGUGUGUCUGCGUCCGUUAGUGUCUUAUCAAAAGGGCUGGUUGAUGGCGGCAUCACAGAGGCAGCCAUUGAUGUGUUUGGGUAGAAGUCGUCUGUUCCAGUCAUCCAUUCUAUGACCUCCACGGUUGACCCCAGCAAUGAGGUACUUCACUGGAUCCCAGCAAUCUCCUCAAUCUCAUCCAGGUACGGAGUGAGCAGACGCUCACUUAGCUGGAGGGGGUGGUGGGGGUCUUUACAGACUGACUUGGGAAUGUAAAAACUCUGUGCUGGAGGGAGUUGACAGAAACACAAGAGAUGAAAUAGAGAGGAAGACAUUUUAACAAAGUAGCUGUAGGCUCAGUUUUGUCUCAGGCGUUUGAACUAGUUUGUCCUUGUUCAUUAGUCCAACUCACUCUGGCAGGGUAUAAAAUAGCCUUCAAGCUUCAGCUCUUGAAGUCUUUACAGCGUUUUAGAGCAGAUUAUUGACAAAGAAGACCUCACCGUGCAUAAAUUCCAAUCAAUCAUCACGGCCACUACCACAUCUAAGGCUGUCCAACAUCUUCACAGCGCUGAUGGGAGUCCAUCUGACGGCCAAUAUGCCAAUAAGUGCCCCCGUUUAAAGGUUUCCUUUGGAACUGUGGAGCCAUAGACAAAGCUUUACACAAGCUGCGGAAAUGUUGCUCUCUUCCACCCUGUCAGACGCCAUGACCGUUCAAGUCGCCUACCACCUUAAGCUGAUCCGUCGCCUUCUCUAACUCGGCUCUCCACGACUGAGAGAGGGAGCUGCCUGGUCCAAAUAUGAACAGCUCCUGACAUCUAAUAUACACAUACCAGAUGAAGAGCGGAUAAAGAUACGGACCGGGAUUGUCAAACCUCAGGUUCAGGAGGAGCCGAGCGGAUAGCGUCCUGGACACGGAACCGUGGAGCAGCUCUUUACCCUCGCAGGUCUCACGGAGGGGUCAUGGGAACUUGCCCAGCCAGUCCACAAGUGUUUUGUCAAUAUGAAGUCUUUAGGCCAGAAGGCGUUUGAGGCCAUGUUUCGUUGCAGUAAACGGUGGAUUGCACCCUCGAGUCACUCCCAUGGGUCUCGUUUACAACUGAGGGUAAAACUGUGAAUCGUAAGCUGCAACCGCCGUUUGGUACGGCGUCAGGAGUGUUUUGUGUGUUCUAUCAGACCUUGUUGGUAAAGGGGCAGCUAAAGCCAAAGCCCUCAAUUCACCCGUUCGUCUAUGUACAGACCGACCCCCAUGGUAGUGAGCUUUGGUUCGUGACCGAAGAAAUAAGAUUGCCAAGGACAACAUCCCUGAAGAGGUUUUCUGGGCCCAGAAAACACUAGAGGGAUUACAUUCAUCUUCAGGACCUUGCUGAAGAGAGGUACGUCUGGAUUACCCUCAUAAGCCUGGAGCCCUGCGAUCUAGCCCUAGAUAAGUGGAUAGUAAAUGGAUGGAUGAACAGGGAACAUAGGGAGAAAGAGAAAUGUGCGACAACAAAGGUUUUCUCACCAGGGUGAAACCAGGUCUGUUGCUUUGAUAAGGUGUGUGACUGAACUAAUGAGGCGCCAAGUAGCCACAUACUGUCUUGUACACAUAUAACAUUCUUGGUAAGUGCUGGCUUCCAAGCUUAAUGAGAGACUAAAUGAAUCAAUCAACUGCAUAACUAAGAAUAUAUUAGAGCAAGAUUAGAGGUCUAAGCAGGCCUACGUGCUUGGCAGCACUUGUCUAAUAAAGCAAUCUAGCCAUUUUCUUUCGAUUUUAACAACUGAAAGAAAUAAAAACAGUGAGGAGUUGGUUAUUGGCUGGAUCUAUUGUUGCUUUGGAGACAUAUGUUUUAUGUGUGGUAUAUGGUUUUAGUAGAAUGGCUCCAUCCCUAUUCACCCUGACCCUUUUUAUUUUAGUUGAUUGAUUACUAUCAUACCAGCUGUGAAGUUGGCAGUUCAUUGUUUGCAUUUCAACACAGACCCUUAUGACUGUUAUGUAUCUAAGGCAAAGAAUUGGCAGGACAUGGAAGGGUGAAAAUGAAUCAACGGAAAGACAAUAAAAAAUCGAGUUCCUCAAACAAACUGCUUGAUGUAUCACAGUGACAUUUGCUUAGCUGCAGAGAGGCGUUUCUGAAAGGCAGCAAACCAUAGAAACCGACAGUUUGGCCUCCACUAGUAUAAUAAAUCGCUGCAAAUCACGCUGAUGAGCAUGAGGGAAAAGGGAAACAGUGGGUCGAUACAGCGAGGGAAAGAUUCCUCUGAAUAAACCAAAUCAAUCAAAUAUUCAUAAAGUACUCUGUCAAACGCAAAUGACACAAGCCAAAGAGAAACCCUGCCGAGCAACAAAACAAACGAGAGCCAGAAGAGCUUGCCGGACAGCAAAGCAAAGCUGUACUUGUGCCAAUCUCUGCGCCCUGGUCUAUCGUGCUCUUAGUCUUGGCAAUGAGGACCUGUCCCUUGGCCCAGAGAGAGAGAGCGUGGAAGCGCUUGCUCAUACCAGAGGCCUCGGCCAGCUGCAGCAGGGCUCCUGUAGGGUCCAGCCAGCUGCAGAGACACAGAACAAUGAUCAGAGGAGACUUGCUGGUGGGUUUCUCUGCAACGGGGGAGGAGGGGGGGGGGGGAAGAGUCGAGUCAGCAAAGAGCAAAAAAGAAAGAGGGAACAGAUGAGCCAACAUGGUCACAGACACCUGAUGAUAACCCUGUGAUGUGGCUGCGUUUUCAAGCAAAUCAUUAUUUUUUUAGAAAUAAAUAACCGCUUCGUGAAACAGUUUAUUUAUAAUUUAUAAGUCGAUACAGUUCCCAUCGUAACCUCAACAGCUGAGAAUUACAGCACCACUUGAGGCUCUGUUGGCCUUUCACGCCAUCAAACACGGGCUAACGGUGGAAUGUGGGUGGACGCGGUCGGACAGGCGGAAACACAGAGCCACCGACAUGGACAGAGAAGAACAACGGGGAUAGAUGGGAUAACAGCUGACACUCAGCUUGUAGAGCCGGGGGGAGCGGGCGGCUCCACAGCCUGAUAACAAUAUGCGUUUCCGACGUACAGAGUUCUCAACAGCUUCCGCAUGCUAAUUACAGAUAUUCUCCCAAUCACUUGAAAACGAGGAGCAAACCUCUGGUUGGGGACCUCUGAUGUAAAGCAAGAGAUUGCAGGUCUGAAAAGGCAGAAAGUGUACAUAAUAUAAAAGAAAGACAAAGAGUGAAACAGAGAAAUAGGCAAGAAAGUUGGGUUUACAAUAUGAUACACACUGAAACAUUCCUCAAACUUGCCGACUUAGCAGGAGCCAUGAAUCAUGACCCCACAUCAUUAUCUGAGCUAGAGAAACACUAGACUCCACACUGAGCAGAGGGGAGAUGAAAUCUUGGCAACGGCCAAAUCCUCAUGUGAUCAGAUUAAUAUUUGUCAAAUCUAAUUCCCACUGAUGGAAUAAAGCAACAGAAGUGAGUGACAGAUAUCCAAAAAAAACACACACACUCUUCUCCCUUUAGUCAAGCAGCCAUGAAUAGAUCAUCCUAUGUUAGGAAAAGCUUAAGCGAAUACAACAUCACCAGGGUAUACACACACACACACACACACACACACACACACACGCACACACACACACACACACACACACACACACACACACACUCUGUUCUUAAUCAAAUACAGAAAGCAUUCAGCUGUUCUCAAUUGUCACGCAGAGUACGCAGCAGGAAAUGCACGAUGAAGACAGCAACACACACACCUGCCCCAACACUUCCAGCUUUAUUGUUGCUGGUGGGAAAACAAUGAAUCUAAAGACACAGUGGACUGACUUUUGGGACAUUCAGUGUGUUCCAAGUCUUUUAAAAUCUAAGGUUUGUCUUAUUGGAUUAUCUCAAGUCAACUCAAAUAAAAAGGAUAACAUGUUUGGGUGUCCUGCUCGGAGGAAUAAGCUGUUGAGGUGACACAUGUCUGGAAGGAUAAAGGCCUGCGGAGGGUUACUUUGAAUAACUCUUUUCCCUUUAGGAAUUCAAAUAAAACAAAGAAACUGCACAUGCGCAGCGGGCUUUUUUCGUUUUUUCAUUUUAAGGACUCACAAGCCAAAAAGGUUGGCAACCAGCGACCUAGAAUGCCAUGUGUCACCUUUAAAAGAAAUCUUUUAUUUCACUCAAUGUUCUGCAACUUUAAAGGCCCAAUAUACUGUGUUUCCAAGACCAAAGGAUACAAGUUUUCCACAGUUCUAAGGUUGUAUCUGAAACUUUCUCAUCGAAGACAACAUCAAUACAUUUGUAAGUCGGUUUUCCUUUUAUUUCUGAGCUGGUAACAACAUAAACAUGUUUCUUUCAUCAAGGAGCAGCAUCAGUAGGACUUCAAAUGGAAAUGUCCACUUAAGAACUUUUCCCCGUUCUUUUCUGUUUUGUUUCUUGUGAAUUGCUGCAGUCGCCUUAUGCCUGCCCCCCAAUACUGGUUAACACCCCUGAGCCCCAGUGGGUCCUGUGAUCAAACAAUACUACUAAUUAUAUAUAUAUAUAUGUGUGUAUAUACAUAUAUAUAGAGGAUGAUUCCGUAAUGAUACGUAGCAUGUAGUGCUAAGCACAUGCAGAUGUUUUUAGUGCUGCUUACGGUCGGUUUCCUUUAGUUUGAAGAACAAGCUGACAAAGUCGGAGCUAAAGGUUUGAUCCCAGCAGAGAGCUUUGGAGAGGUUGAUUGAGAGAAAAGAAAGGGAGAGAGGCAGAGAAAGGGAACAAAGGGGAAGCAGCUAAUAGUUUGGAGGAAUAAAACAUUUAUUGGGUAAAAUAGGGUUCCUCAAGUCCAUCCGUCAGCACUGCUGCAGUGGAAAUUAGUCUUGGCCCGAUCGUAUUCACCACCUCCGCAGUUCUACAAUACCCAGAUGUGUCAAAUACUUACUCUCUUUUGUAUCUCUGGUCUACAUUCUUGGGCUGCAGACUUUGAACACUGAGGAACAGCUGUCCGUCUAACAUACACCAGUGAAUUAUCGUCUUACAUUUUUACAGUGCGAGUUUGGGAAAUUACUCUUUGUGAGACAGUCUAUAAAAAACAGAAAAAUACCAUUCUGUAACAGUGGACCAUGUGAGUCUUCAUUUGUUUCAGGAUGUACAUUCAAGUCCUACAAAUUGCUUUCAAAUCAAAUAUUUGAUUUACCUCCCUAAGCUGAGUCCUUCCUCUUUGUCUCCGUCCUUGGCUUUUAGUACUUUCUACUACUACUUUCCUACUGACCUCAGCACUCCUUUUCAUCUUCAAUCCGUCCUCUCGUCCCUCUUCCUCCACCACCUCCUCCUCCUGUGGCCCCUUGCCAUCCCUCACCCCGGUCCUCUUUCUCCCUCCUCCCUCAUCUCGUUUGGGGGGGAAGGAGGCUGCCGUCUCUCAUCCCUCUAUAUUUCCACUGCCUCUCCCCUGGCAUCAUCAAUCCAAUACAACUCAGAAUGGAAAAAGAACAAUGUAGAAUUCACCAUCACAAAUACUUUGAACAAUCACAUCCUGUAUCACAUGUAUCAUCACUAUCAAUCAUCAGUUCAACACAUAUUUAUUCAAAGUAGUGCACAUACAGCUAUUUAUGUAUAAAUACAUGUGCCUUAUCGUUGCUCUAACAGCGACCCUGUUCACAUUACAGAAAGUGACUUGUUAAUAGCUGGCUUCUCCAGAAAACAAAAAUUAAGAAUUUAUUUAUACGUUGGGUAAAAGGCUUCCUGAAAUAAACUUUGUUGUAUUCUAUGAUGGUUCAAGUAAUACUUCUACUACUAUUUAAACCCAAACUUAAAAACCUACCUCUGCGGAUGAAAGGCCCUUUAUAAAUGAAAUUGCCUUGCUUUACUUCUUUUAGCAGAAUGGAUGGACACACUGAAUGGACGAACAAAGAGACAAAAAGGGUUAUUGAUUAUUGUCGAGUCAGAAGGAACAGAAGACACGGCUAUUAGACAAACACGCUCUCUCAAACGCCGCAGUCGCAAUCUAUAACCGCCGCGGCUCAAUUGUCCCUAAAUGUCACGCUGUGGCUACAUUGGGAACUGGCAGCUGAAUGAAAUGGGAGCGACUGAAGCGGAGCAAAGACUCAGUGAGGGAAUAAAAGGUCAGCGAGACCAAAGAGGACAAAACUGUCCAGAACGGCGCACACUGGGCAGAAAUUGGCCACAGAAAAGAAAGCCGAGAGACGAGGGGUUGUGUGUGGCUGCAGAACAGAGGCAGGACAAUGAGAGCAACGAUGACCUAAAGAUCGAGAUGGAAAAAUAGUGAGGUGACUAACUCGCUCGUUCCCUUCGCCCGUCUCCCUUUGGUGGUGCACAAACCUUUGCGGCCAGCUCUACCUCAUGCCACACCUUCUGGACCUGAAGGAAGACACACCAUGUGUGACCAGAGUCACUUGGCUGACUGCAGACACACAAGGUAUUUCAUCCGUAGGCUGGUCAAAAUUCAAAUUGCGGAGGUUCUAGUGUUGAUAGGUCUGUAAAUCGCUUUGAGAAUUACAGGGCAGAGGAUUUCAAUAUUUCAUUUUAGUUAUCGGAUUACCCUUUCUUUGCAUUUGGACCACAGUGUAUGUGCUAUUUUCUUUAGUAAUCACAAAAAAAGAAUCGUCAAGCAAUCCAGCUCAAGCAAACCAAUGACGACGGAGCUGAUUGGUUUGGUAUUUGCAGUGAUAAUCGAGGUGGGGACGUUAUUUGAAUCAUCUGUCAUCAUCUGGAAAUCUUUUGGAAAGUGGCAGUAGAAAAUAAUUGGACAUUACAUAUUUUUUUUCUAAUACAAAUUGUUAAAUCAGAUUCUCAAAAAGACCUCAUAUCAAAAGUUUUCACAAUUAUUACAGAAACAGUGAUCCAUGUAUACGCAUGACGACAAUGUCGCCCCACAUACACAUGUGAAAAGAGUUAAGAUUGGAAAAAGUAAAGGUGGGUGUGGAGG